rnacentral:tRNA from 1 species
GGUACUAUUCCCGAGCGGUCAAAGGGGUUGCACUUAAGAUGCAAUGCAUUAUGCUUCGUGGGUUCGAAUCCCACUGGUACUA